rnacentral:lncRNA from 1 species
GAAAAUCCAGCGCCAUCAGAUCAUCUCAUUAAUUGAUGUGGCAAUGAUCAUAUGGCUCUAAGGCGCGGAAACACGAUGCUCUCAAAUCAAGCGUGCAACACAUUGUAUUAAAACAAUUCAACAUAUGCAAUGGCUAAGAUUAAAACGUUUCAGCAUGAUCCAAAGGCUAGGAGGCUACCACAUGGGGAUGGUGGUGGAAACCACCAUCUUCU